rnacentral:rRNA from 1 species
GGGUGCGAUAACACCAGCACUAAUGCUCCGGAUCCCAUCAGAACUCCGCAGCUAAGUGCGCUUGGACGAGAGUAGUAAUAGGAUGGGUGACGUCCCGGGAAGUCCUCGUGUUGCACCCC